CCAGCAAGCUCCAGGGUUCCCUCUGUCUUAGCCUCCUGAGCACUAGGAUUACAGAGUUCAGGAUACUGAGGGAGACAUCACCACUUUCCAACUGAAGGAGAAACACCAUGCAAAGGCAAAGGUCCAUUAUGCUAACUAGAAGGUAAGUGGAGUCCUCACCCAUCAAUAAGAAAGCUUCUCUUUGCAACAGAUGGAGACCAUUCCAGGAAACCACAACCUACCAAAACCCGGAGCCCAGUCCUAAUGAAUACAUCUGUAAUUGGACUCCCACACCUAAGUCUUGGGGAAACAUUGUGGAAGAGGGGGCAGAAAGAUUGUAAAUUCCAGUUUAGCCCUUUUAGAAAUCCUUUGCUCAAGUAGAAGACAGAAAGAAGAGUAAAGGCUAACUAACAUGCACCAAUUCCUACUGGGCUCUAGUCCAUAGAGUAGACUAGAAACUUCACACACACACACACACACACACACACACACACACACACACACACACACACACACACGAUGAUUAAGCAAUUCCUAUAAUGUAAGUUCUGAUUUAUUUCCAGUUUAUAAAUGAAGAAACUUAGUCACACUUUUUGUCACUGUGACCAAUAACUGAGUAAAACAACUUAAAGGAAAUAAUGAUUUACUUGGACUUACAGUUUCAGAGGUUUUG